ACGUACACUCCUGCGGGAGGCAGCAGUGGGGAAUAUUGGACAAUGGGCGCAAGCCUGAUCCAGCCAUGCCGCGUGAGUGAUGAAGGCCCUAGGGUUGUAAAGCUCUUUCACCGGUGAAGAUAAUGACGGUAACCGGAGAAGAAGCCCCGGCUAACUUCGUGCCAGCAGCCGCGGUAAUACGAAGGGGGCUAGCGUUGUUCGGAUUUACUGGGCGUAAAGCGCACGUAGGCGGACUAUUAAGUCAGGGGUGAAAUCCCGGGGCUCAACCCCGAAACUGCCUUUGAUACUGGUAGUCUUGAGUUCGAGAGAGGUGAGUGGAAUUCCGAGUGUAGAGGUGAAAUUCGUAGAUAUUCGGAGGAACACCAGUGGCGAAGGCGGCUCACUGGCUCGAUACUGACGCUGAGGUGCGAAAGCGUGGGGAGCAAACAGGAUUAGAUACCCCGGUAGUCCCAUG
rnacentral:rRNA from 1 species